rnacentral:misc_RNA from 1 species
CCGAACGUCGGGGAGCACGACGCAAAACAAGCCAUGCGGAUUAGUUCGCGCGGCAGGUACUUUCGUACUUGCCGCUCUCUCUUCCCCCUCUCUCUCUCUCUUUCGUCGCUCAGGGAUGCUAGGCGCUCGACGCUUGUCGGCUCCGGGCCCGUGAAGGGAUGACACCUCUUUCUGCCGCAGGUGAAUAGCUUUCGGGAAGCAACGGCGCGGGCUCUGGGAGUGCGGGUGCCAUGUAAGAAUGGCGCCCGGGCUCGCGGAGUGCGGAUCGGAGCGGCUCGGAGGAAGGAAGCCCGCGGGGGGGGUCUCUCAGACACAGCAGCAGCAGAACCCCGCGAAACCACAAUCGUUAUGCGAUGUCGGGCGAGUUGCGUCUCGCCGAGCUCUUCGUGAGCUCGAAACAAAGCGCCACCCACAAACCACACCAAACUCUGAAUCUGAACUCAAAAGGAGGCGCGGCGCUCUCUUGCGCAGCGCCUUCUCAACCUUUAACGUU